rnacentral:rRNA from 1 species
GACGAACGCUGGCGGCGUGCCUAACACAUGCAAGUCGAGCGAGCUUGUAGCAAUACAAGUUAGCGGCAAACGGGUGAGUAACACAUGGGAAACCUCCCUCAGAAUGGGGAACAUCUCCGAGAAAUCGGAGCUAAUACCGCAUAAGACCACAGUCCGGUCAUUGGAUCGGGCGGUCAAAGCUGGGGAUCGCAAGACCUGGCGCUUGAGGAGGAGCCCGCGGCCGAUUAGCUUGUUGGCGGGGUAAUGGCCCACCAAGGCUCCGAUCGGUAGCCGGCCUGAGAGGGUGUCCGGCCACACUGGGACUGAG